rnacentral:tRNA from 1 species
GCGGCAAUAGCUCAGUGGUAGAGCCCCCGGUUCGAAUGCGGUGAGAUCUGGGUUUGAUUCCCGGCUGCUCCC